rnacentral:rRNA from 1 species
UACGUAGGUGGCAAGCGUUGUCCGGAUUUACUGGGCGUAAAGGGAGCGUAGGCGGACUUUUAAGUGAGAUGUGAAAUACUCGGGCUCAACUUGAGUGCUGCAUUUCAAACUGGAAGUCUAGAGUGCAGGAGAGGAGAAUGGAAUUCCUAGUGUAGCGGUGAAGUGCGUAGAGAUUAGGAAGAACACCAGUGGCGAAGGCGAUUCUCUGGACUGUAACUGACGCUGAGGCUCGAAAGCGUGGGGAGCAAACAGG